AUACGGAGGGUGCAAGCGUUAUCCGGAUUCAUUGGGUUUAAAGGGUGCGCAGGCGGAUAUUUAAGUCAGUGGUGAAAUCCCGGGGCUCAACCUCGGAACUGCCGUUGAUACUGAAUAUCUGGAAUACGGUUGAAGUGGGCGGAAUGUAGCAUGUAGCGGUGAAAUGCAUAGAGAUGCUACAGAACACCGAUCGCGAAGGCAGCUCACUAAGCCGAUAUUGACGCUCAGGCACGAAAGCGUGGGGAGCGAACAGGAUUAGAAACCCUAGUAGUCC
rnacentral:rRNA from 1 species